GAUGAAGAACGUAGCGAAAUGCGAUAAGUAAUGUGAAUUGCAGAAUUCAGUGAAUCAUCGAAUCUUUGAACGCACAUUGCGCCCGCCAGUAUUCUGGCGGGCAUGCCUGUUCGAGCGUCAUUUCAACCCUCAGGCCCCGCCUGGCGUUGGGGAUCGGCGCGGCCCUCUCCGGGCUGCCGGCCCCGAAAACUAGUGGCGGUCUCGCUGUAGUCCUCCUCUGCGCAGUAGCAACGCUCGCACUGGAACUCGGCGCGGCCACGCCGUAAAACACCCCACUUCUGAAAGUUGACCUCGGAUCAGGUAGGAAUACCCGCUGAACUUAAGCAUAUCAUAAGCGGAGGA
rnacentral:misc_RNA from 1 species